AUAUCAAUAAGCGGAGGAAAAGAAACCAACAGGGAUUGCCUCAGUAACGGCGAGUGAAGCGGCAAGAGCUCAAAUUUGAAAUCUGGCCCCUCCGGGGUCCGAGUUGUAAUUUGCAGAGGAUGCUUCGGAUACGGCCCCCGUCUAAGUGCCCUGGAACGGGCCGUCGGAGAGGGUGAGAAUCCCGUCUGGGACGGGGUGUCCGUGUCCGUGUGAAGCUCCUUCGACGAGUCGAGUUGUUUGGGAAUGCAGCUCUAAAUGGGUGGUAAAUUUCAUCUAAAGCUAAAUAUUGGCCGGAGACCGAUAGCGCACAAGUAGAGUGAUCGAAAGAUGAAAAGCACUUUGAAAAGAGAGUUAAACAGCACGUGAAAUUGUUGAAAGGGAAGCGCUUGCGACCAGACUCGCCGACGGGGUUCAGCCGGGAUUCGUCCCGGUGUACUUCCCCGCCGGCGGGCCAGCGUCGGUUUGGGCGGCCGGUCAAAGGCCUCCGGAAUGUAUCGCCCCCCGGGGCGUCUUAUAGCCGGAGGUGCAAUGCGGCCUGCCCGGACCGAGGAACGCGCUUCGGCACGGACGCUGGCAUAAUGGUCGUAAGCGAC
rnacentral:rRNA from 1 species